GGUGGAAUCUACCACCAUCUAAAAUGAAAAUAUUCCUUAUUCAAUGUAUACUGUCUUUCUCUCCACUAGAAUAUAAGAUCUACAAGGGCAAUUCUCCUGGUCCUGUCAGUUUCAUUCCACUAAACUUUAACUUCUGCAUAAGUGACUGACACAAAGGAGUGACUUGCUCAUAUAUGGUGAAUGAAUGCUGGACAGAAAGAAAGCCAGUGAUAGAGUUCUCCUGGGUCCCAGGUCCCCAGCUCAAUGUGGGUGAAGAGAAUUGUACUUGGCACUGUGCAGCCUUGAGCUCAGUGCUCUGCUGUGUUUUUGCUCACCCUUAACUGGUAUUUCCCCAAAGCAGUUAUCUGACUGGAGCACCUGUGCACCACUGGGUAUGGAGUAUUGCAACAACAAGAGUUUGCACCAAUGACUUUCCAUGUGCAUUUCAUAUUUAGCUGCCGCCAUUCCUUUAAGACCCUGAAUAUUAAAAGUAAAAUGAAAUGCAUAAAUGCAUAUUAACUUUUUUGCCAAUAGAAAGUGGCUCGAUGGCCACUAGAGGGCAUCUUUCCUCAGAAGAUGGCUGUUUGACAUUGGAGACACCUGGAAUUCUCAACUGGCCUGUUAAUAAGAACAGACUACAAGGUCACCUCCAGGGUCUGAGCAUGCUCCCUGUACUCUUUAAAAAUCAUAGGCGGCAGGCAACUUUUUGUAUAUGCGACCUUAGAGCUUUCCUGGCUGAGUCAGCAUCUUCAUUUUGGCCUUGUGUCACUGUGGCAUUCCCUCAGCAGACUACCUUACUGUCAGAGGCGUUCAUCUCCUGUGUGCUGGAUGAGGGGUGGCCCAGUCUCACAUCACAGCACCCCCGGGGACCAGGCUUUCGUGUAGCUCAGGUGUUCUCUUCUGGGAGUCUGUCUGCAGAUCUGGGGCCUUAUCUUGCUCCAGUCUGUGUUUCUUGA
rnacentral:lncRNA from 1 species